AGAAAAGUUUCUGCGAGUGCGGCUCUGGUGAUGUCGUCUACCAGUCGCCCGACCUCAUCACGAGCAAGUGCGGAAUGUCGGGUCAAGUCGACAUCGCAGCAGUGGCAACUGUUCUUCGUAGUAAAUCAAGUGGUGACAGCGGGUUGGAUGGGUGCUACCACGAGACCAGGGUUAUUAGCGGAUCCUUGUCUCCAACAGUACCUGGGAAGCCGUAAAUCACCGUAAGAGAUCGAAAGCCAGCAAGCCGGGAGCGAUGGACACCGGCAGCGUUAAUCCAUGUUGGCUGGAGGAUGGAAAAAGGAUUAUCGUGUUCCAGUAAAGGAUGGCGCUGAAGGAUACCGGAUCCGCCGCUGAUUGCUCAAGUACUCCUGAAAUCACGAGAGUCUUCGUCAUCCGGAAAAACCUCCUUCUGAAGUUGUCUGCCACGCAUCUACUGAACUGCUGAGACAGAAAUUCCCGUUCAACCACAAUAAUAACAUGACGCGGCGGGAGCUGUUUUGGACCUUUCUUCCUUCACGACCAAAAGUAAUAAAACCAUGCUGGCCACCAGUAUGGCUUCGGUUUCAA